AUUGAACGCUGGCGGCAGGCCUAACACAUGCAAGUCGAGCGGAUGAAGGGAGCUUGCUCCUGAAUUCAGCGGCGGACGGGUGAGUAAUGCCUAGGAAUCUGCCUGGUAGUGGGGGAUAACGUCCGGAAACGGGCGCUAAUACCGCAUACGUCCUGAGGGAGGAAGUGGGGGAUCUUCGGAUCUCACGCUAUCAGAUGAGCCUAGGUCGGAUUAGCUAGUUGGUGGGGUAAAGGCCUACCAAGGCGCCGAUCCGUAACUGGUCUGAGAGGAUGAUCAGUCACACUGGAACUGAGACACGGUCCUGAGUCCGACGGGAGGCAGCAGUGGGGAAUAUUGGACAAUGGGCGAAAGCCUGAUCCAUCCAUGCCGCGUGUGUGAAGAAAGUCUUCGGAUUGUAAAGCGCUUUAAGUUUGGAGGAAGGGCAGUAAGUUAAUACCUUGCUGUUUUGACGUUACCAACAGAAUAAGCACCGGCUAACUUCGUG
rnacentral:rRNA from 1 species